UCAGGAUGAACGCUAGCGGCAGGCUUAACACAUGCAAGUCGAGGGGCAUCGCGGGUGGCAACACCCGGCGGCGACCGGCGAACGGGUGAGUAACGCGUGAGCAACAUGUCCUCAGUCGGGGGAUAAGCGAGGGAAACUUCGUCUAAUACCCCAUAACACUUUCAGGCGCAUGCCUUUAAGUUGAAAGCUUUUUUUUUGCGACUUUGGUUUGGCUCGCGUGACAUUAGCUAGUCGGUGGGGUAACGGCCCACCGAGGCUACGAUGUCUAGGGGUUCUGAGAGGAAGGCCCCCCACAUUGGGACUGGGACACGGCCCAAACUCCUACGGGAGGCAGCAGUGAGGAAUAUUGGUCAAUGGACGGAAGUCUGAACCAGCCAUGCCGCGUGAAGGAAGACUGCCCUAUGGGUUGUAAACUUCUUUUGCAGCAGAGCAAUAAGGCGUACGCGUACGCCGAUGAGAGUAUGUUGCGAAUAAGCAUCGGCUAACUCCGUGCCAGCAGCCGCGGUAAUACGGAGGAUGCGAGCGUUAUCCGGAUUUAUUGGGUUUAAAGGGUGCGUAGGCUGUUUUGUAAGUCAGCGGUGAAAGACCGGGGCCCAACUCCGGAAGUGCCGUUGAUACUGCAUCGCUAGAGUUCCCCUGCC
rnacentral:rRNA from 1 species